rnacentral:rRNA from 1 species
CCUACGGGAGGCUGCAGUGGGGAAUAUUGGGCAAUGGGCGCAAGCCUGACCCAGCAACGCCGCGUGAAGGAAGAAGGCUCUCGGGUUGUAAACUUCCUUUGUCAGGGACGAAGAAAGUGACGGUACCUGACGAAUAAGCCACGGCUAACUACGUGCAAGCAGCCGCGGUAAUACGUAGGUGGCAAUCGUUAUCCGGAUUUACUGGGUGUAAGGGGCGUGUAGGCGGGACUGUAAGUCAGAUGUGAAAACCACGGGCUCAACCUGUGGCCUGCAUUUGAAACUGUAGGUCUUGAGUACUGGAGAGGCAGACGGAAUUCGUAGUGUAGCGGUGAAAUGCGUAGAUAUUAGGAGGAACACCAGUGGCGAAGGCGGUCUGCUGGACAGCAACUGACGCUGAGGCGCGAAAGCGUGGGGAUCAAACAGGAUUAGAUACCCCUGUAGUC